GACGAACGCUGGCGGCGUGCUUAACACAUGCAAGUCGAACGCUUAUGUCCUGCUUUUUUCUUGUGCUCGAUUGGCGAACGGGUGUGUAACACGUGAGUAACCUGCCCUUGACUUUGCGAUACCUUCAGGAAACUCGGGCUAAUACCGGUUCUGAUCUCCUGCUUCAUGGUGUGCCUUGGAACGUUUCGGCGGUAGGCGCUGUCCUCGCGGGUUAUCAGCUUGUUGGUGGGGUAGUGGCUUACCAAGGCUUUGACGGAUAGCCGGCCUGGGAGGGUGACCGGGGACAAGGGGACUGAGGUACGGCCCAGAAUGGUACGGGAGGCAGCAGUGGGGAAUAUUGCAGAAUGGGCGGAAGCGAGAUGCAGAAACGCCGCGUGCGGGAUGAAGGGCUGCGGGUUGAAAACCGCGUUGGCAGGAGACGAAGGGUGAGUGACGGUAAUGAAUAAAAAAGCAACGGCUAACUACGUG
rnacentral:rRNA from 1 species